UGUUGUGUGGUGAGCACUGCAUGGAGGGCUCCUGUGUGCCUCACCAGGGUGGAUGUGGGUACCCCCACACAGGGGGUGUCUGGUGAUCCUCAGGACUGCCUCCUUGACUGGAGAGAAGUGGGUGCUGUUCCAGGGCAGGACAACCCCCUGAAGGCAGUGCCCUGCUCUGCUCACCUGAAGUCACCAAAAGGGUUUCAAUGAAGCCAAGCAGUGAGGUUGGGCAUACAAGAUGGUGGAACUGGAUUGUCCAUGUGGCUGCGAGCCUGGCGGCAGAGGUAGCUGAAGGUGAUAACUCUUCCACUGUUGAGCAUCAGGGAAAUUCCAGGAGUUCCUAAAUUUGCCACAGACUUACUGGCCAGCAAAGAACAACAUCAAAACUUGUGUGUCACAUUUUUGGGAUCUAAGAUUACUUCGGAAUCAGUCAUUUUCUUUGUAAUGAGGAUGGAUCCUCUUCCCAAUAGCAAUUCUCCUGGACUCCGUUAUAAUACAAUUUGUAUUUAUUCUUUAGGUGAACCAUUUUAAUUUAUUUUUGGUGAAUAGCUUAAUGAUAACCAGCUAAUGAGACGACUGCGCAUGUUGAGAAUGCUUGUUCCAAUAGGAAUUGUGACUUUGUGUGAUACCGUUUUUUCUAUCCUGCUUUGUUUGUGUGCCAAAUGGUAGUUGUGUACCAUGUUCACCUCUCAUGCUGUUUUUCAAAAGCUUCUGAUGGUGGAAACCACACUUGAAUGCUAGCUGAAUCUGUAUGUAUUCUAUCAUUUGUGGAAUUAAUAUGAAAAGAAAAAAAAUACGCAAAUUAAUCUUUUCUGUAUAUCCAUUGGAACUUUAAAUUUAGGGGGAAAACGUUUGUCCAUGUUAUUGUCACCAGUCCUCUCAUGUUAAAAGAUUUGUUGCAUCUUUCUGUUACUUCUAAAUCUAGAAAGCUACCUAGGUUUGGAGGGUGUACUUUUCCUCUUAAAAACAGGGAUGUGGUAGACUAGACCAAACUGCCUAUUUGCAAGGAACACCUCUGGAGGAGCUGUAGUCAAUGCCCAAAGGUCUGGUACGGUAUUUCUUCCUUGUGGCUGCAUGUACUAAGGAAUUGUCUUUCCAUUUCAGGCUGCUGCACCGGUGUUUCAGAGUGGAGAAAACUUCCUAUCCUGGACACUUGCAAAGGAUUUGUUUUUUCUAAAGUUUCAGUAGGAGUGAUUAAUUGCUUUGUAAUAGGCCAUAAUAUGGACAUGUGCUCUUAGGUAGUCAUCUUCCUCACUCAUGUACAGUAACCAUCAGAAAACUUCUCUUUGUGUCCAAGACUAUUCAUGGGGAGCUAACAAGCCUGCUCUCCCACUCAUAAACUUCAAUUUCAACAUCGCUUGUGAGACAUUGGAAAAGUGCCCCACAGCCUGUAUCUUAUGGCUUCUGUGAGCCAGGGCACGAGGAGGUUUGUGUCCAACUUGCAGUGUGCGUGGCAGGGAGUCAGUCACUUCCACUCGAAUGGAAACUGGUUUUGAAAAAUACUUGCCCGAGAGCAAAGCUGAAAGUAAUUAUAGCACAUGAGACCAAAGUUGGAACCGUUGCUGAUAGGCAAUGAAAAAUGUCUGUCUGUUGAAGACAGUGCCCAUCCUUUUCUCUUUAUCACAGUGUCUGGUUUACACUCACUUGGCUGUAAUUGCAGCACUUAGCAUUUCUCAUUGUUGGAGCCUUUCAGGUGUCAUUCCUUCAGUGCCAUAACUACUGGGCUUCCUGACCUGUGCUUUAAAGCCCCUCUUGAGGUGUUGCAAGGCGAUAGCUUAGGGAAGAAAUAUGUUCAUUAUUACUCCUUUUUUCUCUGCUUAUGGAAUCCACAGCAAUUGCACAAUAGCAACUGAUAAGGAGCCCUGUGAUCUUAAGUGGAGUUCCAGUGAGGUACACAAGCCUGUCGCGGUGGUGCCUAAGGGUUUGCAGUUACUUUCAGCAUGUUUACUGCAUCCAAAGCAGGCCAGAUGAAAAUGGGUUCUUGUGAUGGGUAUUGACCAGGCUGCCAUCUUUGCUUUUUUUUUUUGGUAUUGCUCAAGACCGUUUGCCAGUGCAUCACAGUUCAACAUGCUAUUUUUCUUCCUGUGCCUUUUAGGCAAGUAUCUGAGCCAAUGCCUGCAGAAAGUUUUGCAUAAGGCUGUUAGCAAAAUUCCUACCCGUAGCCACCUACGCUCCUGCUGAAGCCUCUGGCUGAGCAAUCCUGCUGUCUUCGGUAGGAAAGGCAGCAGCAACAGACUGCAGCUGAAUCCUGAGAGGUAACAAGCCUGCAGUCAGGCUGUGAUCCCCAACAGAAGCAGUUAGUAAACUCAUCACCCAGGAAGGAUAUGUGUGCUUAGUGGGUGCAGGAUGCCUUGAACAGUGGGGCAUAGGUCUCCUCUCCCACAUCCCGUUGCAAACUGGUGUGGAACAGUGUAUCUGGCACAUUGUUAGACACUUUGAGAUGCAAGGCUGGUCCUUUGCUCUCUAAAGCUGCUUUGUGUGAACAGACUGUAUGAUUUCUCCUGGCCCUUGCAUGUGGCUUGAAACGUGCGGAUGGUUCUGGUGGAGGUACGCUUGAACACCUUGAGAUUAGCCCCUUGGAAGUCUGAUUUCUCCAUGCCUUUUAGAGCAGCGGUUCUUUCCAAGGAUUCAUUAGUAUGCUGCUGUGUCACCUCCCAAAUGCUUUUCGUCUUUGGGUAGCUGUGCCCAUUACUACAGACUUGCCAAACAUCUCAGAUCUUUGCCGUUGUUACAGCUGAUCCACAUUCCUAUGGAUGAUUUUGCAUUUCAGUGUUGUGAAAUUUCAGAGGGGACUCAACUUGCCUUCUGCUCAUUAGUUGUUUCUGGAGACAUCCCUGCUGAUGUAUACUGAACUCUGACAGGUAAUAGGGCUGCAAUCAGAGGAGGCAAAAAAGUGUUCUCUGCAAAAACUCUUCCUCCCCUUGUUCUCCUUUCUCCAAGAAAAGGUACGUGAGCUGGAGGAUGCUGAAUUCGAACAGCAGAAGGUGUUGGGUCCUGCUCACCUCCCCAGGAGAAUGGGGAGUGACAGGUUUAAACUCCCUAUUGCCCUCCUGGCUUGCUGCAAGAGUUGUGUGUGACCUUGUGUCAGAGGCAUGGGAAUCCACCCAAAUCCUGCAUGUCUGUGCAUGUGACAAGUAGUGUUCUUUAACCUUGGCUUGGUGUGAAGGCAAACUGCCUGAAGAAAGAACUGGAGUCAGAGGAGAAGGAAGCAUUGCUCCACCAGAAACUGGGAGGUCUUUACUUGCUGCUCUUAUUUUUAUGCUUUACAAAGAAUGAACAAGGAGAGCGUGAGACUCCACUCAUAAAUAAAAUCCUUUACAUAGUUUGCAAACUCAGGCAAUUACAUUUGUGUUCAAUUAAUGUUAAGCCACUGAAGAUUCAGUGCAAGUGCAUUCAAAUUUCCCUUUCUCCAGUCUAAAACCAUUUAUCUCAAGUGAGACCCGGAGGUAGCCUCUUGUGAACGUACCCGCUGGUUAACAAGUAAUCUGCUAAAGAAAAUAAGUGCUUCUUUUACAACAGUAUUUUAAAGAUUUCUGUAUGUGCUUUCUUGUGAGAAAGUGUUUUCUGCAAGGAUCUUGUGGUUCCUUUGGCAAGAGGUGACUUGACAAAUGUGCUGUCCCUGUAAACAAAACAGCUAUGUUUCAAAACUGAAGUCUUUUGAUCUGUGUAGAAGGGAUGGAUUUCCCCCCCCCACACACAACUGCAUUCUUAGGUUAAGUUGCAAGUCUAGUGAAUGAAUCAAAGACUUGGCUUUAACAAGUCCCUAUCUUAAAAAAAAAAAGGAGGGGGGAAGCAUUGGGAUGAGGUUUAUGACAUUUCUUCUCCCCCCCAUCUCUUGCUGUGAAGGUGAUAGUAUUAAAUUCAUGUUGUCAAAACAUCUGACCAGUGCCUUGGCCUCUGUGUAUCUAAUGACCAGUGAACUUGAGUUGAAUGUGGAAGCUUACAGAAGCUUAGGUGGGAGCUUGUAGGUUAGCUACAAGACAGAGCUGCUUUUCAUAGUGGUUGUAUGCUCAAACAUAUAUAUAUAUUUUUUUUUUGCCACUGCUAUGCUUCUUGACGUUUUGCAGCUUGCAUCCUCUCUCUGCCCUCUGACUUAGAAAAAGGAUUGUCUGCAUGGUUUCUGCUGUGGUAUGUUUUCAUUUCAAUUGCAAGUGGCUAUUAGUAUUCCACAAAUAACCAUUCAGGCACUUGGGUUUCUCAGCAAAAGGAGAACUUAAAACAAGAACAAAUGUGAUAUUUAAGAUAGAUGUUUUCAGGAAAGCUUAUGGGUUGUGCCCAGAGACUGCCAGACUUCCUUAGUGACCUGGGUUGAUUCUCUG